rnacentral:tRNA from 1 species
UGUGGAUAUAACUUAGUGGUAGAUCACUUGCCUAGCAUGUGGGAGGCUCUGGGUUUAAUCCCCAGAACCACAA